rnacentral:lncRNA from 1 species
UCGAUCGUAGUAGAGGUUGGAGGGAUUGAAAUUGGCCAAGGGCUAUGGACAAAGGUUAGACAGAUGACUGCCUAUGCUCUUGGUUUAAUUGAUAGUAGUUGGGCCGAAGACCUCGUGGAGAAAGUACGAGUCAUACAAGCAGACACCUUGAGCUUAGUGCAAGCCGGGUUUACAGCUGGAAGCACUACAUCGGAAACAAGCUGUGAAGCUGUUAGACUUUGCUGUGAUAUCUUGGUUGAAAGACUGACCCCUUUGAAGAAACAGCUGCAGGAACAAAAUGGCUCUGUUGAUUGGCCAAUGCUGAUUCGCCAGGUUUGAUUUCCUACUAUAUUGUAAUAAACAGAGAAAAAACUAGAGAAACAUAAGAAUACAUCGAUAUUUAUACACGAGAGAAAUAUUCUAAACUUAAUGUAAAUCCUACAAAUUGUGUGCAUAAUGUUCUACAACUAAAGCUAUACAAUACUCUACACUUCUUAAAUAUCUCUUACAUAUAUUCUAAACCAAAUGUUGUAUCUAGAAUAUCUCUUGCAGAUUUACCAUAUCGAGAAUAUCUUAAUGUAGAUCAUACAAAAUAUUCUAUGAUCUGUACAUCAUACUAACAUGUAUAACCACCUUCUCAUUUUUUUCGAUAUUUCAACUCUGGAAGCCAUGGGGUCAGUCACAAUGAAAUUUCUAGUCUUGAAUUCAAUAUGACGACCAUAACAAAGUAAUUCACUUAAUAGUAACUAAUUGCUUAUAUAUUGUUUGGAGCGAUAAGUGAACUAAUUGUAUGUGUUAAAUGUCUGAGCUUGCAGUUGUCUCCCACUCUCCCCUUAUUUUGCAGGCACAAGCGCAAUCAGUAAACUUAGCUGCAAAUUCUUAUUAUGUACCAGAAUUCGAUUCCAUGAGUUAUUUGAACUUUGGCGCUGCUGUCAGUGAGGUAACUUGUUGUUUCUGUCUGUUCUUCUGGUUCCCUCAUCCAUGUUUCGGUAACGUUCCCCGCUUCAGUCUGCUUCAUGGUUUAUCAAUUUUCAAUAUAUAUGAGUGACAUUACUUGGCAGGGAGCUCUGAUUGUGGAAUACUCCCUCCGUUUCAAUUUGUUUGUCUGAUUUGACUUGACAAAGUAAAGAACUUUUGAAUCUUGUGGUCUUAAACAUGUCAUGUGGAAAAUUGGAAUAAAAGAGCUGACAAGAAAGGAAAGAGACAUUCGUGUUUAAACAGACUAAAAAGGAAAGUAAGACAAAGAAAUUGAAACGGAGGGAGUGUUUUGCAGCACCUUCAUUUGGCUAAGUAAUAAUAAAGCUUUUUUGCAGGUGGAGAUUAAUAUUCUGACUGGAGAGACUGCCAUUUUGCAGUCGGAUAUCAUUUACGACUGUGGGCAAAGCUUGAAUCCAGCCGUUGAUUUGGGACAGGUUCUUCCCUUCGUCGUAGAUUUUAGAUUUUGUAAUUAGAAUUUGCUUAUAGAUUGAGAAAUACAUCAUGCAUAUGAUCUGUUCUUCCAUAUUGUUCAUAAAUGUGAGAUUACUUUUCUUUUCCUUUGCUGCAGAUUGAAGGGGCUUUUGUACAUGGAAUCGGAUUUUUCAUGCACGAAGAAUAUCUUACAAACAAAGACGGGUUAAUGGUCUCAAAUAGCACUUGGACAUACAAGAUCCCGACUAUUGACACUAUACCUCAGAAUUUCAAUGUUCAUGUGGUAAACAGUGGACAUCACGAAAAACGCGUUCUCUCAUCUAAAGGUAUUAUUCUGUUUUCAUUUGUUUUCCCACCCCUUCUGCCAAACAAGUUCUUUGCAUUUUCGCUUAUAACUGUGAAUUACAUCAUCAAAUUCUGAAUUUUCCUUUAUUCAUACAAACUGUUGAAUCUCAACUUGAUAACUCUUUUUGCAGCAUCUGGUGAACCGCCGUUGCUUCUGGCAGCUUCAGUCCACUGUGCAGCAAGAGCAGCCGUUAAAGCAGCACGUGAACAGCUCCAACUAUGGGGCAAGCUUGACGGGUCUGUUUCAGAAUUCUAUCUGGACGUCCCCGCCAUAAUACCCGUUGUGAAGACACAGUGUGGCCUGGAUUAUGUGGAGAAAUAUUUGGAAAGUUUGCUGGCUCAGAAAUCUAACUAAAAGUGCUUCAACAUGCAUCUCAGAAUGAUACUGAACUAUGUUGCUCGGACUCUUCAACAUGUUGCAUCAGCUGUGUCGGUUCCUCAAAAAAUACACUAUUUUUUUACGACCUGACAUACACUUAGGGGUAUUUUUGAAAAGUCCGAGGAACAUAGACACUGAAUACUUUGUUUUUAUGUAUAUCUUGAAGAAUUUGAACUGUUCUUUUUAUUGAAAAUCUGUGAUUUAAAGUUUCUUUAUUGUUCUUUCUAUAUCAACCUUAGUGUAAAUUUAGAUUGUAUAGCAAUAAAAUGAUAUUGUAUUAACUGAACUAUAUAGAGAAAUAUUACUCUUGCCGUCUAUUUUUACUUGUUCACUAUACUUAAAUUAAAAUAGAUGUCCAUUUUUACUUAUCCAAUUUGAAAAAUCAAUAAAUAAUUUACUAUUUUAUAUCUAUUUUUACAAUCAUUAUUAAGUACUAUUCAUUUUCCACUAUAUUUCCAUAACAUUGAGUUUAUUAUAUUCAAAAUGCGGUAGAGUAAAAUUAUAGUGUCUAAUGGGUAAUUCGUUUGUAGAAACUGAUGUCAUAUUUGAGCAUAACUUAUAGAAUAUUAUGAUAUUGCGAAAAAAAUUAUUCGUUACCAGGAACAUAAAAUAAAUUAAAGACUAACACAAAAUAAUGGAUAUUCCUAUCAAAUCCUCUUACCUUUGGGGUCCACUAAACCUCAUAUGGCUUUAUAAUAUAACCAAUGUCAUCAUGAUAUGCAAGAACAUGUAUUUGAACUAAUAUAUUACUCCCUCUGUUAAAUUUUAUGUCACACUUUUCGAAUUUCGAAAUUCACAUAAAUCUAUUUUCGAUCGUAGGUUUUUCAUAAAUCUUUUAAAUAUUUUGAAUUAUCAAUUAUUGUGACUAAUAGUACUUUUUACAUUGUUUACAAAUAUAUAAAUUUCAUUUCAAAAAAAAUAAAGAUACCAUGCGCAAAUUCCCGGUCAAACUUAAACUGUUUGACUCUCAAAAUAUGAAAAGUACCACAUAAAUUAAAGCAAACGGAGUACUAUUUUAUUUGUUGACCAUAUUGUGCAUUUAUGUUACAUGAAGCUUUUGUGUUAAAAUUUAAGUCUUUGGACACCAAAUCAAUUUCAAGAUUCUUGGUUUUUCUUUUGAUCAGUUGUAAAUAAUUAAUCAACAUUAAAAAAAAGGAAAAAAACUUAAAUAAGAUAUCAAAUUUUGAACAAAGACUUAUUAAUGUUAUCAUAAAAAUUGGGCUCAUCGUCUAUUUAUGACAUUAUUUUUUAACAAAAAAUAUAAAUGAUCUUGCAAUAACCAUUUUUUCCACGUGGCCUCUUAUUAGCGGUCUACGUCUCCAAAAUUAAACCGGUCCAUCCUUUUAACACAUUUAAAAUUAAAACUUGGACCCAUUAACAUUAAAACAAGCAAAAAAAAUAAAAUAAAUACUUUAGUCUAUUAUCUUUUUGUAAAAGAAAGAAAUCUUUUCUAUUCAAUUAUAUCAAGUAAUAAUAAUAAAUAAUUGGGAACUUUUGACAUUUCAUAGGUAACCAUCACACACCCCCAAACAAAAUCAUAAGAGAAUCGUCAUUUUUUUUUAAUAUUGAAGUGACUGUCCAUCAUCUAUAUAAAUAAACUAUUAUUUAGGAAAUCAUAUCUCUGUAUGACUUUUUCAAAUCACAUUAUAAUAUUAUAAUUUUCCAAUAAGUACAAAAAGUAUGUUAACAUAGAUGUGUGAUGUACUAAAAGAGAUUGAAUAAGGUGAAAUUUGAAAGUGACCUAGACAAGAUAGGGAAAUAAGACUGAAAUGAUUUGUUAUGUGCUCUAAUGAGGAUCUGUGAGAUCCUGUUGGUUACCGUGGAUAUAAAGAGAGGUAGAGGAAGACAAAAAAAGUUUUCGAGAUAUGUGAUUAAAUAGAACAUAACAUACCUGCAUCUGAACAUGACGCUAGAUAGAAAAACAUAAAUGCCAAGAAUUAGGGUAGAAUGUCAGUGAUUAUUCGAGCAUCGUCUGGUUCCCUUAUCAGUAUUGUUGAUUCCUUUGCUUCAGUUGUCAUAUUAUUUAUUGUAGUUACUUUUUUUUUUCUUAAUUGUUUUCAGCAUGAGUUUUUCGCUAUUAUAUUUAUUUUACAUACUUAAUUUUUGAUAUACUUACUCGAGCUGAGGUCUAUUAAAAAUCACGUCUCUACCUUCACAAGGUAGACAUAAGGUUGCCUAUAUAUUAUCCUCUCCAGAUCUCACGUACGAAAAUCUCCUUUCCUAAGUGGAAUAAUCAUCAAUAUAUGAGAUCACUCGAACAUGUUCCACCUAAUCGUUGACUUCUUGUAAAUUGAUUCUGAAUAACUUUAUUGAGAUCAAAUGCAAAAAAAAUGCAAAGGCUUUUAAUUUUGCGAAAUAUGCUAAUUUAAUUUUAUUCCUUUUUAAUAUUAUAUUUUUAAUAACUAUACAAAAUAUUACUCCUAGUAAUUAAAUUAAAAAAAUUAAAAUAUUAUUAAUAUAAAUAAUUUAAUAAAAUAAAUCUUCAAUAAAUAUUUUUUCAAAAGGAUCCAAGUUAGUGGACAAAUAAAACUGAAGACAUUAUGUCCUCAAUAUAUAUUUCUUGAAAAAGUCCACACACACAAAACAAAAAAAAGUACAUUUUGUGGAACCACAAAAUGGGGCACCAUGAAAUCUCAUAUAACUUAAUAAUUUAAGGCUAUGAUUUAACCAAUCAUGUUAAGCUAUGCAAGAAAAUGUUGAAUGUUAUGUAGUAUUAUUAUCAUAUUGUUUGUUGACUAUUUUGAGAUAAUAAAAGUUUAGUUAUUUGGGGACACCCCAAUACAAUUCCAAGAUUCUUGCUUUUUCUUUCAGUUUCUGUUAUUUUUUCAGCUCAAAAAGUUGAAAAAGACAAGAUUUUUGAUAAAGGGUAUGUGUCAAAGUUAACUGCUUUAGUGUUUCAGCUAGCCAAGAAUCUUGAUUUGAAAAGCUUUUGUGUUAAAAACUCAAUCUUUGAACACCCUAUUCAAGAUUCAUGAUUUUUUUCUUUAAGUUCUGAUGUUUUCAGCUUAGGAAGUAGAAAAAGAUAAGAUUUUAAUAGACAACAGUGUUGUGGGUUCUAAGAUUAUGGGUUCGAGUUACCAAGAAUAGGAAGGAAAAAAGAAAAAAGAUAAGAUUUAUGAUAAAGGGUGUGUGUCAAGUUAAAGUAAGCAUUUGGAAAUCCAAUUCAAUUCAAGAUUCUUGCUUUUUCUUUCAGUUGUGAUGUCUUUUGGCACAGAAAGUAGAAAAAGACAAGAUUUUGACAAAAGGGUCUGUGAAUCUUGAUUAUUGUAUAAGCUUUUGUGUUUAAAAGUUAAGUUUUUGAAUUCAAGAUUCUUGUUUCUUCUUUCACUUCUGGUGACUUUCAGUUUAAAAAGUAGAAAAAGACAAGAUUUUUUAUAAAGGAUCUGUGUGAAGUCAACUGCUAUUACAUUAAUGGAAGAAAGACAAAAGAAUGUGAGUUUGGUUUUGGCAGUUAAUGGAGAGAGAUUUGAGUUGCCAUGUGUUGAUCCUUCUACAACUCUGCUUCAGUUCUUGCGCUCUGAGACUUGUUUCAAGAGUCCCAAGCUUGGUUGUGGUGAAGGUAAUUCUCCUAUAUAUUAUUUUACAACUCUAUUACAUGUAUACUAUAUGUUUUUUUGAUAAACGUGGUGUCCAGGUCAGCUUGCCCGCAGAUACCUACUUAUAUGGUAACUCUAUCAUCAAGGUUUGGACAUAUAGGAAAUUCUGUAGUGUUUUUACCUAUAUAUGCUGAUAUGACAACUUCUGCUGUACUUUUAUUGUUAAUUAGUGAUCUUGCAGAAAGUUUAUGAUAACUUAUUAGGACUUCCUUUUUGAGGUUUUUUGGUUCUGUGCUUAAAUUCUGUACUCUCUAAGUGUUGUUUGACAAUCUAAGGGUGUGGAACGGUAAAGAUUCUUUCAUCCUUAGCCAGAGGUCUUGAGUUCGUGUUUUGAGAUUGAGGUCCUCUUAGGUAUAGAGGGUUUUCAGGCAAUGAAAAUCAGUCAUUUACAUGAAUUAGUUCUCUUAAGAUGGAGUUUUUUGCUUCACAGUGAACUACUUUAUGUAAUUCCUUUUCCUUUUUUUCUUUUCUUGUUAAUUGGAAGUACAAUGGCUAACUUUAGAUUAUAUGGAAACUCUUUUUUUUUUUUCAUAAGUCUUGUAAAGAGGUAUCAUCUCAUCAUCUGAUUUAUGUUUUUGUAACAAAUUCUAUAUUUUGGCUUCAGAAAGAACAUAACUUAUUUGUGUUGUUAAAGGUGGUUGUGGAGCUUGUGUCGUUCUGGUGUCGAAGUAUGAUCCCAAUCUUGAAAAGGUUGAAGAUUUUAGCGUGAGUUCGUGUCUUACACUUCUUUGCAGUUUAAAUGGUUGUUCAAUUACGACAAGUGAAGGCCUUGGGAACACCAGAGAUGGUUUUCACUCUAUUCAUGAAAGAUUUGCCGGUUUCCAUGCUUCUCAAUGCGGCUUUUGCACUCCUGGCAUGUGUAUGUCAUUUUUCUCAGCUCUCGUUAAUGCCGAUAAAGGAAACAAACCCAAUCCUCCACCAGGAUUCUCUAAGCUUACUUCAUCUGAAGCUGAAAAGGCCAUCACAGGGAACCUUUGUCGAUGCACUGGAUACCGGCCCAUUGCUGAUGCCUGCAAGAGUUUUGCUGCUGAUGUUGAUAUAGAGGAUUUGGGGUUCAAUUCUUUUUGGAAAAAGGGAGAUUCCAAUGAAGUGAAAGUAAGUAAGUUACCUCCCUAUGACCCAACCAAGAAUUUUAGUACAUAUCCUGAGUUCUUGAAAAGUGAAUCCACUACGAAUUCGGACUCCUCAAGGAGGUACCCUUGGUACAGUCCUGUUUCCAUUGAGGAGCUACGGAGCUUGUUGUACCCCAAUGUUAUGGAAAAUGGUGCAAGCUUUAAACUUGUCGUUGGAAAUACCGGCACAGGUUAUUAUAAGGAAACUCAGCCAUAUGAUCAUUAUGUUGAUCUCAGGUACAUUCCUGAAUCCUCAAUCAUCGAAAGAGAUCAGAAUGGAAUUGAAGUUGGAGCAACCGUGACUAUCUCUAAACUCAUUUCAUUCUUGAAAGAGGAAAACAAAGUCAAUCUUGGUUCAUACGGGACGUUGGUGUCCCAAAAACUAGCUAACCACAUGGAGAAGAUUGCUUCACCAUUUGUUCGAAACUCUGCUAGUGUGGGAGGAAAUUUGGUUAUGGCACAGAAGAAUGGUUUUCCUUCAGAUAUUGCUACAUUAUUUCUUGGACUUGGUGCUACUGUUAGAUUGAUGACCAGUCAUGGAUUUGAAAAGCUCACAUGGGAGGAGUUAUUAUCGAGACCACCGCUAGACUCAAAGACUGUGCUUCUAAGUGUUUGCAUCCCAUUUAAGAAUGCUCAAAGUUCUCUCCAAACUCACUCUAAAUUGUUGUUUGAUACCUUUCGAGCUUCUCCACGACCUCAUGGGAAUGCAUUGGCAUAUGUAAACGCUGCUUUCCAUGCUGAUGUUUCUCACUGCAAGAACGGCGUCCUGAUAAACAAUAUCCAAUUGGCGUUUGGUGCUUAUGGCACAAAACAUGCAACAAGGGCUAAAAAAGUAGAGGAAUAUCUAGACGGGAAGAUAUUAAAUGUACAUGUUUUAUAUGAAGCACUUAAAUUAGUCAAACUAGCAGUGAUACCGGAAGAUGGCACUUUACACCCCGAGUACAGAUCAAGCUUGGCUGUCAGUUAUGUUUUCGAGUUUCUUUAUCCCUUCACUGAUGUUCAUUCUGCUAUUUCUGGUGGUUUACUCAGUGGAAUUAGUGACAUCUCAGUUGAGGAAUUUUCCAAAAGUUGUAAUGAUGGUCGCAUUAGUCAGGGGAGAGAACAAACACUACUGUCUUCUGCUAAGCAAGUCGUGGAAUAUUCAAGCACCGAGUACUAUCCAGUCGGUGAACCGAUGAAGAAGGUUGGAGCUGCCAUGCAAGCUGCUGGUUAGUUCUCUCAUUUAAAUAAUUUAUUUCAUCUUGUGCAUGUUUAGCGAAGGGGAGCCUUGAAACAAUGAAAAAAUUGUUUCCAUGUGACAAAUCUUUCCUGAACAUGCCAGUUUCAUUCUAUCCUUCAAGGAGUUUAGUUUCCUGCAAUACCAGUUUCCGUUUUUAUGAUUGAGCUUUAUAUUCUGUGAAAUUGAUAACUGAUACUUCAAGUGAAAUACUGUAAGGUUCAUUCGACGCCUCUGGUACAAUUAUAGGCUGGUUCUUUGGUGUUAAUGCAUAUUCAGCAGAACUUGUAUUUUGGUUAUAAUUUUUCUCAUCAGUCUCUCCUUCUCCCUUGUCAUUUAUUUUACAUCUGAGACGAGGCUUGAUCUUUCGUUUUGAAGUUUUUUUCCUCUGAAAAUGGUUCAGUAUUUUUCUAGGUCAGUUGUUUUUAUCAUUUCUGUAUCCUCACUGUCAUGUAUUCAUCUUCUUUUUUUUUUGAUAAGAUAAGUGGUAUUAAUAACAGCAUCAAGAAGAUGCAAAAUUUACAAGAUAUGGCAUUUGAGCUUACAAAAGAUCUCUGGCUAACUAUACAAACUAUCUAAGCCAGAGCUAAUGAGUUAGUAAAAUCCUGAAGUUGUUCUGCAUUAACAGCAUGAUACAAGUUGGUCCAACUAAACAAAUUUUCAGUGCACCUAGUCUUCAAAAUGCCUAAAGCAGUUGACUCUCCAUCAAAACAUCUCUUGUUCCUCUCUAACCAAAUACACCAAAAAAUACAAGCAGGUAUCAUAAUCCAGAUCUUCUUGAUGGCUUUGUCAACUUUCCAUAGACUCCAACUCUCAUAUGCAUCCUUAACAGUGAGGGGUGUGGUCCAAUUGAUGCCAGAGAGACCAAAAAACAUGCUCCAUAAUUCUGAGGCCACCUCACAAUGAAGAAGAAGGUGUCUAGGGGUUUCAGCCUCUUUUUUGCACAUAUAGCAUCUGUUUUCUUAACAUGUAUUCAUCUUGCCAUGCUUUUAUUUCUUAACUCAAAAUAUUUAUCUGCAUAAUAUGUUAAUGAUAACUUUUUUUCUGCAAUGUUCCAAACUUCAAAUCAUGUGUUUGUUUAUAUACUUUUUUGCAGGUGAAGCUGUUUAUGUAGAUGACAUUCCUUCACCACCAAACUGCCUGCAUGGAUCAUUUAUCUAUAGUACAAAACCAUUAGCAGGUGUAAAUGGAAUCCAACUCGACUCAAAUCGAUUAACAGAUGGAGUCACUACUGUUAUUACUUUUAAAGAUAUCCCAAGCGGAGGGGAAAAUAUAGGAGUUCUUACAAAUUUUGGUACCGAGCCCUUAUUUGCAGAUGAUCUCACCCGAUAUGCUGGCGACAGAAUUGCUGUUGUGGUGAGCACUUCAAGCUUCUGCCAGCUGGAUUCAGUUUAUGAAACAUUAACUUCUCAUGCAUUUUAAUCCAAAGCAAUUUUGAACAAUUUCUUUAUGUUGUUGAAACAUUAUAGGUUGCUGACAGUCAGAGGUCUGCUGAUGUGGCGGCAAGAACAGCCCUCGUUGAAUACGACACUGAAAAUAUAGAUUCUCCCAUCUUAACCGUUGAGGAGGCUGUUGAGAAAUCUAGCUUUUUCCAAAUCCCACCAGGUCUAUAUCCAAAACAGGUCGGUGAUUUCUCCAAAGGAAUGGCUGAGGCUGAUCACAAGAUUCUCUCUGCUGAGGUACUUUUGAUUCCUCUGUAAUGUUUCAUUCGUUCAAAUGGUUUCCUGGAUGGUGAUUUUGCAUGUCUUGCCAUAGAUGUAUGCUAAAGGCUUACAUGUAUUACUGAUUAGCUCUUUUCAUAAUCAUUUCCAGAUAAGGCUUGGUUCCGAAUACUAUUUUUAUAUGGAGACACAGACUGCCCUUGCAAUUCCAGAUGAAGACAACUGCAUGGUUGUUUAUACUUCAAGUCAGUACCCUGAGUAUUCGCAUCGUGUUAUUGCCAGUUGUCUUGGUGUUCCCGAACACAAUAUCCGUGUAAUUACAAGAAGGGUUGGAGGUGGCUAUGGGGGCAAGGCAAUCAGAGCAAUGCCUGUGAGUAUUUGAAAAAGAAAUACUCCCUCCGUUUCCAUUUGCUUGUUUGUUUUUGACUUGGAAUGGAAUUUAAGAAAGUUAAAAGAUAUGUAGAAUGUAUCAAAAUGUUCUUUAAUCUUGUGGUCUUAAAUAUGUCGUGGAGAAACUUGAAACUAAAAGUUUGCCAAAAAAGGAAAGAUACAUUUUUUUGAAAUGGACUAAAAACGGAGGGAGUAGUAAUUGCAACAAAUCUCUGAAUCUGAUGUUGAAGUUUAUGCAUGAUUUCAGGUUUCCGCAGCCUGUGCACUAGCAGCAUACAAGUUAAGACGACCUGUCAGGAUAUACGUCAACCGGAACAGUGACAUGAUAAUGACAGGAGGACGACACCCGAUGAAAGUAACGUACAGUGUAGGAUUCAAAUCGAGCGGAAAGAUCACAGCAUUACAUCUUGAUAUAUUGAUAAAUGCCGGGAUCACGGAAGAUGUAAGCCCCAUUGUACCAUCAAAUGUGAUAAAAGCACUAAAAAAAUAUGAUUGGGGUGCCUUAUCUUUCAAUGUAAAACUGUGCAAGACAAAUCUUACCAGCAAAUCAGCUAUGCGGGCCCCUGGGGAAGUGCAAGGAUCUUAUAUAGCCGAAGCUAUAAUGGAGCACGUAGCAGGUUUACUCUCGUUGGAGGUGGACUCAGUCAGAAACAAAAAUUUUCAUACAUUUGAAAGCCUUCAUUUAUUCUAUGGUAACAUUGUAGCAGAAGGAGAAUAUACAUUGCCUAGUAUCAUGGAUAAGUUGGCAGUGUCGUCGAGCUUUUUCCAACGAAGCAAGAUGAUAGAACAGUUCAACCAGAAUAACACAUGGAAGAAAAAGGGUAUUUCUCGAGUGCCCAUCGUGUAUGAAGUUAUGCAACGACCAACCUCAGGAAAAGUCAGUAUUCUGCAAGAUGGAUCGAUCGUAGUAGAGGUUGGAGGGAUUGAAAUUGGCCAAGGGCUAUGGACAAAGGUUAGACAGAUGACUGCCUAUGCUCUUGGUUUAAUUGAUAGUAGUUGGGCCGAAGACCUCGUGGAGAAAGUACGAGUCAUACAAGCAGACACCUUAAGCUUAGUGCAAGCCGGGUUUACAGCUGGAAGCACUACAUCAGAAUCAAGCUGUGAAGCUGUUAGACUUUGCUGUGAUGUAUUGGUUGAAAGACUGACCCCUUUGAAGAAACAGCUGCAGGAACAAAAUGGCUCUGUUGAUUGGCCAAUGCU